rnacentral:rRNA from 1 species
UACGUAGGGACCAAGCGUUGUUCGGAUUUACUGGGCGUAAAGGGCGCGUAGGCGGUCCGACAAGUCAGGGGUGAAAUCCUGCAGCUUAACUGCAGAAGUGCCUUUGAUACUGUCGGUCUUGAGGGAGAUAGGGGUGUGCGGAACUCACAGUGGAGCGGUGAAAUGCGUUGAUAUUGUGAGGAACGCCGGAGGCGAAAGCGGCGCACUGGAUCUCUUCUGACGCUGAGGCGCGAAAGCUAGGGGAGCAAACGGG